rnacentral:tRNA from 1 species
AGACAGUGGCGCGGCAACGCCUCACUCAGUGCGCCAUCCGGGCUGCCAUCGUCUUC